UGGGAAUCUACCCGAUGGUACGGAACAACCCAGGGAAACUUGGGCUAAUGCCGUAUAAGCCCCGAGGGGGAAAGAUUUAUCGCCAUCGGAUGAGCCCGCGUCGGAUUAGCUAGUUGGCGGGGUAAAAGCCCACCAAGGCGACGAUCCGUAGCUGGUCUGAGAGGAUGAUCAGCCACACUGGGACUGAGACACGGCCCAGACUCCGUACGGGAGGCAG
rnacentral:rRNA from 1 species